ACACGAGUGGCGCACGGGUGAGUAACGCGUGGGUAAUCUGCCGUCGGGUCUGGGACAACUCCGGGAAACUGGAGCUAAUACCGGAUGAGACCACGAGGCCUCCGGGCCUCGCGGAAAAAGGUGGCCUCUCCUUGGAAGCUACCGCCUGACGAUGAGCCCGCGUCCCAUUAGCUAGUUGGUGAGGUAACGGCUCACCAAGGCAACGAUGGGUAGCUGGUCUGAGAGGAUGACCAGCCACACUGGAACUGAGACACGGUCCAGACUCCUACGGGAGGCAGCAGUCGGGAAUCUUGGGCAAUGGGCGAAAGCCUGACCCAGCAACGCCGCGCGAGGGAUGAAGGCCUUCGGGUCGUAAACCUCUGUCGGGAGGGAAGAACGGUUUCCGUUCGAAUAGGGCGGGAGCCUGACGGUACCUCCAAAGGAAGCGCCGGCUAACUCCGUGCCAGCAGCCGCGGUAAUACGGAGGGCGCAAGCGUUGUUCGGAAUCAUUGGGCGUAAAGCGCGUGUAGGCGGCCUGGUAAGUCGGGUGUGAAAUCCCGGGGCCCAACCCCGGAACUGCAUUCGAUACUGCCUGGCUGGAGUCCCGGAGAGGAAGGCGGAAUUCCCGGUGUAGAGGUGAAAUUCGUAGAUAUCGCGAGGAACACCAGCGGCGAAGGCGGCCUUCUGGACUGUGACUGACGCUGAGACGCGAAAGCGUGGGGAGCAAACAGGAUUAGAUACCCUGGUAGUCCACGCCGUAAACGUUGGGUGCUAGGUGUCGCGGGUAUUGACCCCUGCG
rnacentral:rRNA from 1 species